rnacentral:rRNA from 1 species
AUACGGAGGGGGUUAGCGUUGUUCGGAAUUACUGGGCGUAAAGCGUACGUAGGCGGACUGGAAAGUUGGGGGUGAAAUCCCGGGGCUCAACCCCGGAACUGCCUCCAAAACUUCCAAUCUAGAGAUCGAGAGAGGUGAGUGGAAUUCCAAGUGUAGAGGUGAAAUUCGUAGAUAUUUGGAGGAACACCAGUGGCGAAGGCGGCUCACUGGCUCGAUACUGACGCUGAGGUACGAAAGCGUGGGGAGCAAACAGAAUUAGAAACCCUAGUAGUCC